rfam:Enterococcus casseliflavus EC20, complete genome.
GGUUGAGCAUUUUUUAUGCUUCAAGGAUCAGGUUUGCCAAGGGGUGAGGCAAAC